rnacentral:rRNA from 1 species
GACGAACUGUGCAAGCGUUAUUCGGAAUCACUGGGCUUGAAGAGUGCGUAGGCGGUUUUGUAAGUAGGGUGUGAAAGCCCCCGGCCCAACCGGGGAAUUGCGCCCUAAACUGCAAGGCUGGAGUGAGGUAGGGGUGUGUGGAACUUCUAGUGGAGCGGUGAAAUGUGUUGAUAUUAGAAGGAACGCCGGUGGCGAAAGCGACACACUGGACCUUGUCUGACGCUGAGGCACGAAAGCCAGGGGAGCAAACGGG